GUCUUCGUGGUGUAGUCGGUUAUCACGUCUGUCUUACAAGUCACAAGCUUGUGGAACACAGACGGUCUCCAGUUCGAAUCUGGACGGAGACA